CUACGAAGGGGGCUAGCGUUGUUCGGAAUCACUGGGCGUAAAGCGCGCGUAGGUGGAUCAAUUAGUUGAGGGUGAAAUCCCGGGGCUCAACCUCGGAACUGCCUUCAAUACUGUUGAUCUUGAGACCGAGAGAGGUGAGUGGAAUUCCUAGUGUAGAGGUGAAAUUCGUAGAUAUUAGGAAGAACACCAGUGGCGAAGGCGGCUCACUGGCUCGGUACUGACGCUGAGGUGCGAAAGCGUGGGGAGCAAACAGGAUUAGAAACCCUUGUAGUCC
rnacentral:rRNA from 1 species